UGUUUAAGUACCAUUUACUUACACUUAUAUUUUGAGUAUGUUAUCUAACUCUCUUUUAUGUGUUAUGUGCUGGACCGUUGGGGGUCCAGAUUCACAGGUUUUGUGGUAUUCGAUGUCGAGUCGUCGGUGAAGCUCCGCUCUGAUUGUGACACGGGAAAGGGUUGUAUUUACUAUAUAGAGUCUUUAUGACUAUUUGUAUUUUACUUUGGAAAAUGUAUCUUAUAAAGAAGAUUUAUUUUGUAUAAAGUGAGUUUUUUCUAAUUAAUUAACUUAGUAUGAUUUUCGUAAAGAGGAGUGUAAUAUCUCGAACCAACAAUUUAUCAAUCAUUGAUUUAAGUCUAGAACUUUAUUUUAUCCGUUGCGUCGCUUUUUAGAAAAGAAAUUUUUAAGCCAUAAUAAAGGCAUUAAUGGGUUUGG
rnacentral:lncRNA from 1 species